ensembl:snRNA U6 U6 spliceosomal RNA
AUGCUCACUUUGGCAGCUCAUAGACUAAAAUUGAAAUGAUACAGAGGAGAUUAGCUUGGCCCCUGAACAAGGACGACAUGCAAAUUUGUGAAGCAUUCCAUAUUUUU